CGAUGAACCACAUUCGGUGGGGAUUAGUGGCGAACGGGUGAGUAACACGUGGGCAAUCUGCCCUGCACUCUGGGACAAGCCCUGGAAACGGGGUCUAAUACCGGAUACGAGUUCCACGGGCAUCCGUGGGACUGGAAAGCUCCGGCGGUGCAGGAUGAGCCCGCGGCCUAUCAGCUUGUUGGUGAGGUAAUGGCUCACCAAGGCGACGACGGGUAGCCGGCCUGAGAGGGCGACCGGCCACACUGGGACUGAGACACGGCCCAGACUCCUACGGGAGGCAGCAGUGGGGAAUAUUGCACAAUGGGCGAAAGCCUGAUGCAGCGACGCCGCGUGAGGGAUGACGGCCUUCGGGUUGUAAACCUCUUUCAGCAGGGAAGAAGCGAAAGUGACGGUACCUGCAGAAGAAGCGCCGGCUAACUACGUGCCAGCAGCCGCGGUAAUACGUAGGGCGCAAGCGUUGUCCGGAAUUAUUGGGCGUAAAGAGCUCGUAGGCGGCUUGUCGCGUCGGUUGUGAAAGCCCGGGGCUUAACCCCGGGUCUGCAGUCGAUACGGGCAGGCUAGAGUUCGGUAGGGGAGAUCGGAAUUCCUGGUGUAGCGGUGAAAUGCGCAGAUAUCAGGAGGAACACCGGUGGCGAAGGCGGAUCUCUGGGCCGAUACUGACGCUGAGGAGCGAAAGCGUGGGGAGCGAACAGGAUUAGAUACCCUGGUAGUCCACGCCGUAAACGGUGGGCACUAGGUGUGGGCAACAUUCCACGUUGUCCGUGCCGCAGCUAACGCAUUAAGUGCCCCGCCUGGGGAGUAC
rnacentral:rRNA from 1 species